rnacentral:rRNA from 1 species
UACGGAGGGUGCAAACGUUGCUCGGAAUCAUUGGGCGUAAAGCGCACGUAGGCGGCCUGAUGAGUCGGGUGUGAAAGCCCUGGGCUCAACCCAGGAAGUGCACUCGAAACUGUCAGGCUUGAAUAUGGAAGAGGGUCGCGGAAUUCCCGGUGUAGAGGUGAAAUUCGUAGAUAUCGGGAGGAACACCAGUGGCGAAGGCGGCUACCUGGCUGACAACUGACGCUGAGACUCGAAAGCAUGGGGAGCAAACAGG